CCCAGACUCCUACGGGAGGCAGCAGUGGGGGAUAUUGCACAAUGGGGGGAACCCUGAUGCAGCGACGCCGCGUGGGUGAAGGAGCGUUUCGGCGCGUAAAGCCCUAUCGGCAGGGAAGAAGGAGGACGGUACCUGACUAAGAAGCCCCGGCUAACUACGUGCCAGCAGCCGCGGUAAUACGUAGGGGGCAAGCGUUAUCCGGAUUUACUGGGUGUAAAGGGGGCGCAGACGGCAGCGCAAGCCAGGAGUGAAAGCCCGGGGCCCAACCCCGGGACUGCUCUUGGAACUGCGCGGCUGGAGUGCAGGAGGGGCAGGCGGAAUUCCUGGUGUAGCGGUGAAAUGCGUAGAUAUCGGGAGGAACACCGGUGGCGAAGGCGGCCUGCUGGACUGCGACUGACGUUGAGGCCCGAAAGCGUGGGGAGCAAACAGGAUUAGAUACCCUAGUA
rnacentral:rRNA from 1 species